AUGAACUUCAAGUGGGAGAUCAUCGUGGUUUACAGCCCUGCCGACCAUAGUCGCUCGGCUGCUUUCUUGGCCGAACUCCACGCCAAGAUCACCUCUGCGACCCUUCCUGUAGUGGUAGGGGGAGACUUCAACCUCCUCCACUCUGUCGAGGAAAAGAGCAACUCGCGUGUUGAUCUUGCGGAGAUUCGUUGCUUCAACGACUGGGUAGCGGACCUAGGACCCCUAGAGCUGGACAGGGUCGGGGCAAGAUUUACCUGGACCAAUAGACAGGUUUCCCCAACCCUUAGUGUGCUGGACUGUGUGUUUGUCUCCCCCAAAUGGGAGCUUCAGUUCCCUUUAGCCUCUCUCCAGGCUAUUACGUGCAUCGGGUCCGAUCACGUUCCCCUUCUCCUAUCAUCUAGGGAUGAGAUACCACGCCCCCCUCUACUGUUCCGUUUCAAAGCUUUCUAGCUCCGGCAGCCAGGCUUUGUGGCAGCCAUCCAGGCUCACUGGGUCUCGGCGUCAACCGAGCCCCAUAGGCAGAUGUCGAUCCUGGACGAAUGGCAUCACCUAUCCAAGCGAUCUAGGCAGUUCAUGAAGGGAUGGGGUGCUAACAUUGGGAGGGAUCUUCGGAUCCAGAAGGCCUCCCUCCUCAAGGAGAUCCGGGCCCUUGAUCUCUGUGCAGAUAUUGCUAGGAUCUCCGCAGAGGAAUGGGCUCCUAGAUACAAUUUGGAAGACUCUCUCAUGGAGAUCUACUCCAAGGAGGAGGAAUUUUGGUGCCAGCGUGGCUCUAUGAAUUGGGUGCUGUUUGGGGACACCAACACUGCUUACUUCCAGGCCAUCGCUAAUGGUCGUAGGCGACACUGAUCCAUUCCCCUUUUAUGGGAAGGAGGUCAGCUGUUUCAGGAACCUCAGGCUAUCCGCUUGCUGGUUGACGACUUUUACAAGUCGCUAUUUCAGGGGCGCCCUCGGAGUGGUAUCGCCCUUGCCGACCACAUUUGGUCUCCCGACCAAUAGAUCUCCCCGGAGGAAAAUGCGGCCCUGCUCGCUCCUUUUGAUGCCGCGGAAGUGGAGGCCUUUGUCAAAGCCAUGCCGGCCUCGGCCCCAGGCCCCGAUGGACUGAUGGUCUACAUUUUUCAGGCUUUCUGAUUGAUGGUCAAGGAGAUCAUCCUUGAUCUAUUCCGUGAGUUCUCUAGGGGAACAUUAGACAUGUCCCGGCUUAACUACGGGAUCAUCUCUCUGAUUCCCAAGGUGCCGGGUGCGGCAGACAUUAGGCAAUUCCGCUCUAUCACAGUCCUCAAUGUGAUAUUUCGGAUUUUGGCGAAGGGGUACGCCACUAGGGUGUUGGGUUUCGUAGUAAUUCCAAAAAAUUUCCUACGCACACGCAAGAUCAUGUGA
rnacentral:rRNA from 1 species